GCAACGAUUGUUUGGGUGUUUGAAGUAUCGGCAAAUUCUUCAUGAAAGAUGUGGAGUGCAUCCAUGGGAACUGAAUUUUAUAUAUCACGGAUAUAUUUUGUUCUUGAUCGGUUAUAAAUACUUAAUACUCAUUGGUGGAGGAGGUGGAGAAAUUACGGUUUUGGAUAAUAAGUCUUUUUUUGAAUGAGAUGUGGGUCAUGGAUCUAUACCGUAUGACCCGGUUUCAUAACCCAUUGCCCAUUUAAUUAAAGGAGCUCUCAUUGAGUGACAUGUGUCCUAAAGUUGGUUUCUUUUAUUAUAGUAGAUAGAUGAAUAGAUUUAGGCUGAUGUGGCAUGAUAUUAGAGCCUCUUGGAAUGCUUUUUGACGGGAAAAUGAGAUAGAUGUUUACAUUGCUCGCGGAUCCCUUCUUUGAGCAACACGACCCAAUGAUUCGGAUCCUAUAUAUUUAUGUAUUUGAGGACUCUAUUCUUUCUUUCAUCAUUAGCCUCACUGUCUCCGUUCCAAACCCUAAUCUCCAUCCAUUCCAAACCCUUUUCAAUCGUUCGUUCACCUAUUAAUCUCAAACCCACAACUAUAUCUUUUCACAAUCGCAAAACAUUGUCUCUGCAACCGUUAACUGCAAUCACAUUGGCGAAUGAUCUGUGGUUAAGAAUUGAAGGCAAACGAUCCGAUUGAAGUCUACCUGGUUGAUAUUGCGGCUUAUGCUUCUCUCCAAGAGAUCAAUUAGGUUUUUUACAAAGCGAUGCUAAUGGGAGGAGGUGGAUAUUUUUCAGCUGAUGGUUUUAGAAAAUGAAUAUACUCACGCCGUUAGGUGGAUAGGAUUGCGGUGAUACUUCGCUCUCUACAGGCUCUUUGAAGGCUUUGUUUUCGAUGUAGUUGCGGGCAUUGAACAUGAGUGUUUUGAUUAGAAAACAUGAUAAUGAUUUUGUUAAAAUGUAGUAUUUUAUCAUUCCAUCCGGAGUUCCAGGAAUGUCUAACUUGCAUGUCAAGCCUACUUUGAAUGUUAAGCCUUCUUUGAUGUGGCAGGCAGGUAUCAUCAAGGCCUUAAGAAAUGGGUUUAAGUAGGAAAUUUUGCAGUUGUUGAGAAGUGCUACAAUCAUGAAGCCAAAAGUGAUUGUUAUUGGUGCAAUUGCUUAUGCUUGAUUAUAUGUCUAUGCCAGAAUUUUUCAAUCAUCUCUACAAACUUUUGCAUAUGGAAAUGUAAUGCUUGUAGCUGCUUGUGAUCAUGAGAAGGUAUCUUUCAGUCCUGAUCUGAUUUGGUUAGGCUAUGUAAUGAUUUUGUGAUUUUGGUCUUAACUUUAAAAUUAACUAUAGUAUCUAUUAGAGAUUAGGCCUAUUGAUAUUUUUCUUUUGAGGCAUGUUAACCAGGCUAUGAUGAGCUUAUCAAUGCUUCCAGGGGUUCUAUAAACAGGCGCUGUCCUUUUGGCCAAAAAGUUUAUAGGCGGUGUCCUUAACCUUCCAAAAUCUUGCAUGUUUUGUCCUUUAGGCCAAACCUGGUUAGAAAUCUCAGUUAAUUCUUGUCAAGUGUAAUGCAUAUGAGGGUACAAUGGUCAUUUUCCCUCUCAACCCUUUCUAUUUCCCCCAUUUAUAACCCUCACCAACCCCUUAGGGGGUGUUUGGCCUAGCUUUUUUUAUCUAAGCUUAUAGCUUUUUUAGCUUAUUUUUACAAAAUAAGCACUAAUGGGUGUUUGGUUUAGCUUUUUAAGCUUAUGCUUAUUAGCUUAUAUAAGCUAAUUCCAAGAAGCUUAUGGGAACAUGGUUUUUUAGCUUAUUUGAAUAAGCUUAUUUGAAGAAGAUAGUUUUUUACUCAUUUGCCCUCAAAUGGUGGAUUAACUCAUUACACACAAUGAUAUUAUACCCGUUCCCAUAAUACAAAAUAACUUAACAAACAACUAAAGAUUAAUGAUUAAUUAUUUUACCCACCGAUUAAACUACUUGCAUCUCUUUUGACGGUUCGAUUAAUUAUUAACUACCUGCAUCUCUUUUGUAUAACUAAAGAUUAAUUAUUAACUAUUCUGCAUCUCUUUUGACUGUUCGAUUAAACUAUUGGUGACAUAUGGAAGUUGGGAAUCAACUGCUAUCAUCAAACAUCACUUAAUGCAAAAUAUAUGCAACUAAUAAAAGAUAAAAAGAAAAGAUGCGUGCUUUAAAUGAAUAUCAGUGAAUUUAAUAUUGCAUUUAAUAUUGCUAGUCGUGCUCCUAGAGGACCUAAAGAGAUAUUUAACUGCCAUCAUUCAUCAUUGAGAAAUGUCAUUGAAUGAACUUUUGGAGUAUGGAAGGCUAGAUGGGAGAUAUUACAACAUACGCAUGUCAAUUACACCUACGAGACACAAGUGCAGAUCGUGCUAGCAUCUAUGGCAAUUCAUAAUUAUAUUAGAAAAAAAGAUACAUGUGAUGAAGGAUUUACCAGGGCGCAACAAGAAUCUUACACUCCAAAUAAUGGUCGAGGAUCUAAUGACAUUAAUGAAGUAAAUGAAGACACAAGUACACAACGUAGAAUAGAUGAUUUAUACAUGAGUGCAGUUAGAGAUAUGAUUGCAGGAGAUUUAACCAAACCAAGAUGAAUGUUUAUUGAAUAUUAAUGUAUUUUUGUAGAAGUUUUACGUUAUCCUCGACAUAAAUUUAUCCAAAAAUGAUGGAUAACUCAUAAAAACAAAGUAGAUACAUAUAAAAUAUAAGUUAUGUGAUAAUAUGUAACCAUGCCCUUUUUGGUCAUUUUACUAAUAUAAGCUAAAUAAAAAAAGCUAACACAAACACUUAAAAAGAGCUUAUUAACUUGUAGAAUAUAAGCUAAUCUAAACACUUAAAAAUAGCUUAUCAAAUGAAAGAAAAUAAGCAUAAGCAACUUUAAAAUAUAAGCAUAAGCCAAAAAAAAAUAAAAGCUAAGCCAAACACCCCCUUAAUUCAUCUCUAUCAAAAAUCCAGCAGACCAGAUUCUUGAGGCCAUUGCUCCUCUUGUCCUUAACCCAUCUUGAUAUGCUGGUUUCUCCAUUCUACCCUCCCUCAGCCGAUUUUCCCUCUUUUUCAGUUGAAUCCUGAUGCUGAAUCCCCCAUACAAGGAAGAGAUUCCGAUCAAUACUGAUUAUAUUUGUGACAACCGGUAAUUAACGCCUCUUAAUUACACAAUUAACAAGCGUUUAAGGCAAUAAUAAUUAGUGUUUAAGGUACAAAUUAACUUAAUUAGGCCUUUUGGAGGGCCGUCUAUCCGACUUUAUAGUACGCGAAUGUGGAUUUGCGGGAAAACUGCUGAAUGUUAACGGUAACGAACUGACAACGGACAAAAUGUUGACAACGCCGACAAAUAUGAGUUUUACACGUAUGUUUUAUACACAUGAAUUUGGUUUUGCGAAAUUAUCGUGCUUUCGAACGUCACAAAACGCACACGUGAAUGAAAAACGCGACUGUAGGAAUUCACCAGCAACGAAACGGAAGCAUCAGACUCGUGUAUUACCUUAAAAGUUGAAAUAUUAUGAUAUAUUUAGAUUCGCAAUCAAGUUUUAAUAUUCGCAGUGGAAAUCGGAUCGAAAAAUGGACUAGAAACGACAACCGAAGCAUCAUACGCGAUUUCAACGCUACCGACGAACGUACGCGACUAAUAUCGAUUACCGACAAAAUUCUUCGUAAUUUUGACUUUAAAUAAACAAUUUACAACAUUCCAAGAAGUUUGGAUCAACACGUGUCAACUCGGUUCGGGUUCGGGUCAACUGUGGUCAAACUAGGUCAACGGGUCAGAUUUGGCGUCUCGGGUCAGUCGGUCAACGUGAUCAACUGCCGUCAAUGUGGUCAAGCUCGGGUCAAUGGUCAAACCGAAACGCACGUGUAUCGAGACUUGGUAAAGUUUGACAAACGCUUUUCGAAUAUUUAUAUAAUUAUAUUGUCAUUAUUUUUUUAGCGUAAAACCGAGCUCUAAACCGAACCAACUAGUGAAGCCGUAUAACAACAAUCACUCGGACUUGUACAUAAACAGGUGUAUACAAUUUGUAUAUAUAUUAGUUAAAACUGAACCGACAUAUCAUGACAAGAAAUAUAUAUAUAUAUAUAUCCAAAUUCUUAGUUUUGUUUAUAACGAGCAGGGAAGGCUUCCAUGGAGCCAAAACCCUAAACUUCAUCAAAUUCUCCAAAUUGAAAGGCUAAACGAAGCCCAAAUUCACAACCGAACAUGAAUUAACGAUCACCUUCACAAGGGGAUCAUAAGGUAUGUCUUAAAACUUAGAUUUGGUGAUCUUGUUUGAAGUGGGUUAUGAUCAAUCCAUGGAAUUGUAUGAAAUUAAGCAUGUAGAGGUGUUAGAAACACCAAAUAAAACUUGUGUUAUGAAUAAUUUCAAGUAAUUGGGUGAUUUAGAAUGAAACCCAUUGCAUGAGUGUGAAGAUGAUGAUCAUGAUGAACUUGUAGAUGUUAUAGUGUAAUCUUGUGUUGUAUAAGGUGUUGUAUGAUAGACUAAGAUAGAUGAACUUGAAGUGAAAUUUAUGAUUAUGAGAUGUUGCUUGAAUGUGAUGGUUCAUAAGAUGAAAUAAGGAAGAACAUGCUUAAAGCACUUGUACAUUAUGCUUAGAAAGUGAUAUGCGCACCAGAUGUUUGAUGAAAUGCUUAGGAGAACAUAAUAAGUGAGAUUGUAUGCUAUUAAUGAAUAAAUGUAGGUAGAAUGUGAUGACGAUGUAUUAGAUAAUAGAUUUCUAUAAGGAAUGUGUUUUGAACGAAUUACAAGUGGGAAAUUAGUUUGAUAAGAUGAUAUGGCAAGAAACCUUCAUUAAAAGGUAUGUAUGCUCAUGUAUGCUAAUCAUGUUAUAAUGAAUGUGAUGACAUGUACGGAUAGGAGUCAUGUCAACAUGGACACAAGCAUGGAAGGGCAACGUGCCAAGGAUAAACACGGAAGCUAUGCUUGAACUCGGACGCACGAGGUUGUACAGGGUUAUGGAAAUUUCAUCAAGAAGUGUACGCGGUCGAAGAUCGAGUCAAGUCAUGGAUUGUACGUGGGUGUGUAUGUGGUCACUUAAUUUGAUAUAUGUAUGUUAGUUUUCAUUAAUUUAUAAAAAGAGAUUAAUGUAUUUAAGUGAAUUGAAGAGUAUCAUGAAAGAAAUUUUACA